rnacentral:lncRNA from 1 species
AUCAAAAGGUGCUACUCCCCCACCACUUUUUCAAGUUGUGUCCCCUUUCACUUGUGAAAAUGCCCCCCUUAUUCCAUAAGUGCCCUGGCCUAGCUUAAGCUUAUCACUUGAUUUCGACACCUCUUUUUUUCACCCUCUUUUUUCUUUUUAAAUAGUGCCUCAUUUCGAGCUAGGAAUAUUUGAGCAUGAUUUUGUUGGUGGGAUAUCCUGGGAGAGAUUAAACCAAAUUUGUCGGAGGAUUGCCCCCACCCUCGUAGAUACACCCCUGGGGGCGAUCAAGCUAGAACUAUAUCUAUAUAGUAUAUCCAAGAUUUUGUAUUUAGUUCUACUUUAACAAGAACAUUUUAUUAAAUUGGCCCAUUAUAUUUUUGUUCGUGUGGAGAAGGGGGGUCCUGGACGCGCUCAUCCUGGACAUAGUAACAUUAUUUUAUGCUAAUUCAUCUCAUUUAUUUAUUAACCAAAUAAUUCAAUAGUUGGAGCCUGCACGUGCAAGCCUGCCUAUGACCCUUGUUAUGGCCCCACUACGGAGCUUGAUGCUCAACCAGGUGGAAAGAUGGAGGAGGGUUGGGAUUCGUGCGGUGGCGUUAACAUCAAAGAGAGAGAUGUCAAAAGAAGACUUACAAGGUUUACAAACAGGAGAUUUCGACCUGGUGUUUUCCUCACCUGAAGUCAUCACAUCUGCAGCAUGGUGGCCAUGGCUGCAAAAGAAUAAAGGCAGGAUCUCCCUGUUGGCAUUGGACGAAAUGCAUUGCCUUUCAAAGUGGUAAACACUUAUUUAUCAUCUCAACGUUAUAUUUUUUAUAAAGCAGGGAUACCACUGAAAAUCACCUAGAAUGGGCUAUUUUGUACAUUUAAAAGGACUUUUCUAUGGCCUGUUAUAAGGUGCCAGGACCUGAAUUCAGGAUUUUGCCUCAUAUGUGUUGGCCCUGAAUAAAGGCUAUCAGAUUAAAAUGUUCAUAUCAUUUGAAGUUUCAUGCAAUCCUCUUUAAUGAUUUUCUUAAAAUAAUAAUCUGAAUACUUAAGUAGAUUCUCACUUUCAGAAAAACUCAGUGCGCACAUUUUGAAAAGUAUUUGGUUUGACAAUGGUCAUUGCAGCUGAAAUUCUGGAGGACCUCUUUGAACCUAGAGACAUAAAUGGCUCUAAAGGUUAUAGAAAAUAACAGACGUGAUUCACUGCAGUAAUAUGGCAUUUUGUGUUAUUAAUUAGUUACCAAUGUAUACAGAUCCUGUGGAUUUACAGCAUAUGGUGAAUAUCAUCAUAAGUAGUCAAUCCUGUUGCAUAUUUUUCAGCACUUUUAUUUAUAGUUCUUUCCUUUUAAUUUUACUAGGGGCAAGACUUUUCGUCCAGAAUAUCUACAGGUGGUCAGCCUCAGAAGUAUUGUAUCAUGCCCCAUUAUGCUUCUGACAGCUACAGCCACAACCAGCAUCAUCAAAGAAGUGCUUCAUCUAUUACAUCUAAAGGAGACAGACAUUGAAACAGUGGCACAUAUCCCAGAUAGACCAAAUAUCCACCUAUCCCUGGAAAGGACAACAUCCACAGAUUUCAAAGAGUAUCUGAAGGACUAUCUUGAAAUCUUAAAGAGGGAAAAGGACAAGGCCCCAAAGGCUAUCAUCUACACACAGAGCGUUACAAAAGUAGCAGAGAUAUGGGGAUGGAUGCAGACGGAGCUUGGUAAUCAUCCAGCAG